rnacentral:rRNA from 1 species
UACGUAGGGUGCGAGCGUUGUCCGGAAUUAUUGGGCGUAAAGGGCUCGUAGGCGGUCUGUCGCGUCGGGAGUGAAAACUCAGGGCUUAACCCUGAGCCUGCUUUCGAUACGGGUGGACUAGAGGUAUGCAGGGGAGAACGGAAUUCCUGGUGUAGCGGUGAAAUGCGCAGAUAUCAGGAGGAACACCGGUGGCGAAGGCGGAUCUCUGGGCCUUACCUGACGCUCAGGCACGAAAGCUAGGGGAGCGAACAGG